GAUGAACGCUGGCGGCGUGCCUAAUACAUGCAAGUCGAGCGAACGGACGAGAAGCUUGCUUCUCUGAUGUUAGCGGCGGACGGGUGAGUAACACGUGGAUAACCUACCUAUAAGACUGGGAUAACUUCGGGAAACCGGAGCUAAUACCGGAUGAUAUUUUGAACCGCAUGGUUCAAAAGUGAAAGACGGUCUUGCUGUCACUUAUAGAUGGAUCCGCGCUGCAUUAGCUAGUUGGUAAGGUAACGGCUUACCAAGGCAACGAUGCAUAGCCGACGUGAGAGGGUGAUCGGCCACACUGGAACUGAGACACGGUCCAGACUCCUACGGGAGGCAGCAGUAGGGAAUCUUCCGCAAUGGGCGAAAGCCUGACGGAGCAACGCCGCGUGAGUGAUGAAGGUCUUCGGAUCGUAAAACUCUGUUAUUAGGGAAAAACAUAUGUGUAAGUAACUGUGCACAUCUUGACGGUACCUAAUCAGAAAGCCACGGCUAACUACGUG
rnacentral:rRNA from 1 species